rnacentral:tRNA from 1 species
GGGGAAGUGGCGGAAUUGGCAUACGCGCAUGACUUAGGAUCAUGUGGUUUACACCUUGCGGGUUCGAGUCCCGCCUUCCCCACCA